GGGCUCAUGGUCUAGUGGUUAUGACGUUUGCCUCACACGCAGAAGAUCGCCGGUUCGAAUCCGGCUGAGCCCA
rnacentral:tRNA from 1 species